CGGUAAUACGUAGGGUGCAAGCGUUAAUCGGAAUUACUGGGCGUAAAGCGUGCGCAGGCGGUUUUGUAAGUCUGAUGUGAAAUCCCCGGGCUCAACCUGGGAAUUGCAUUGGAGACUGCAAGGCUAGAAUCUGGCAGAGGGGGGUAGAAUUCCACGUGUAGCAGUGAAAUGCGUAGAGAUGUGGAGGAACACCGAUGGCGAAGGCAGCCCCCUGGGUCAAGAUUGACGCUCAUGCACGAAAGCGUGGGGAGCAAACAGGAUUAGAUACCCUGGUAGUCCACGCCCUAAACGAUGUCUACUAGUUGUCGGGUUUUAAUUAACAUGGUAACGCAGCUAACGCGUGAAGUAGACCGCCUGGGGAGUACGGUCGCAAGAUUAAA
rnacentral:rRNA from 1 species